GUUGUUGGUUGUGUACAUAAACUAUCAUCAUGAGGCUCCAAGGAUCCGGUGUCGCUCACCGGAUAUUUUUUAUUACAACUGAUGCAUGAAAUAAUGCAAAAUUAUACUUUUGCUUUAGCUUCAGAGAUAUAGGCAAACACUGCGUUUUAUUAUAUGUUUAGCCAUGUUGGCCAUGUUGGUUGGCAGGCAUGGUUAUCGGACACAAUUUUUAAACAAGAUACCUUAUGAUGAUUGUGACCAGGGUCGUCUCAGUAGUUUCUGAGAAGAAGAUCUUGAAAAUGAUAAAAGGAUUACAAAAAUUUACAAUUUUGUUUGGCGUCUGAAAACUUCAAGAUAUAUAGAUCUAAACCUUUCGAACAUAAAAACUCCAUUUCAG
rnacentral:lncRNA from 1 species